rnacentral:rRNA from 1 species
CCUACGGGCGGCAGCAGUGGGGAAUAUUGGACAAUGGGCGAAAGCCUGAUCCAGCCAUGCCGCGUGUGUGAAGAAGGCCUUCGGGUUGUAAAGCACUUUCAGUGGGGAAGAAAGCCUUGGGGCUAAUACCCUCGAGGAAGGACAUCACCCACAGAAGAAGCACCGGCUAACUCCGUGCCAGCAGCCGCGGUAAUACGGAGGGUGCGAGCGUUAAUCGGAAUUACUGGGCGUAAAGCGCGCGUAGGCGGUCUGAUAAGCCGGUUGUGAAAGCCCCGGGCUCAACCUGGGAACGGCAUCCGGAACUGUCAGGCUAGAGUGCAGGAGAGGAAGGUAGAAUUCCCGGUGUAGCGGUGAAAUGCGUAGAGAUCGGGAGGAAUACCAGUGGCGAAGGCGGCCUUCUGGACUGACACUGACGCUGAGGUGCGAAAGCGUGGGUAGCAAACAGGAUUAAUACCGUGUAGUC